UACGAAGGGGGCUAGCGUUGUUCGGAAUCACUGGGCGUAAAGCGCACGUAGGCGGAUCUUUAAGUCAGGGGUGAAAUCCCGAGGCUCAACCUCGGAACUGCCUUUGAUACUGGGGGAUCUCGAGUCCGGGAGAGGUGAGUGGAACUGCGAGUGUAGAGGUGAAAUUCGUAGAUAUUCGCAAGAACACCAGUGGCGAAGGCGGCUCACUGGCCCGGAACUGACGCUGAGGUGGCGAAAAGCGUGGGGAGCAAACAGG
rnacentral:rRNA from 1 species